rnacentral:rRNA from 1 species
GACGAACGCUGGCGGCGUGCUUAACACAUGCAAGUCGAACGGAAAGGCCCUGCUUUUGUGGGGUGCUCGAGUGGCGAACGGGUGAGUAACACGUGAGUGACCUGCCCUUGACUUUGGGAUAACUUCAGGAAACUGGUGCUAAUACCGGAUAGGAGCUCCUGCGGCAUGGUGGGGGUUGGAAAGUUUCGGAGGUUGGGAAUGGACUCGCGGCUUAUCAGCUUGUUGGUGGGGUAGUGGCUUACCAAGGCUUUGACGGGUAGCCGGCCUGAGUGGGUGACCGGCCAAAUUGUGACUGAGAGACGGCCCAGACUCCUACGGGAGGGAGUCGUGGGGAAUAUUGCACAAUGGGCGGAAGCCUGAUGCAGCAACGCCGCGUGCGGGAUGACGGCCUUCGGGUUGUAAACCGCUUUCGCCUGUGACGAAGCGUGAGUGACGGUAAUGGGUAAAGAAGCACCGGCUAACUACGUG